GGAUUUGGGAGCUUGCUCCUGAUGAGAGUGGCGCACGGGUGCGUAACACGUAUGUAACCUACCUUAAUCUGGGGGAUAGCCUCUCGAAAGAGAGAUUAACACCGCAUAACAUUAUCGGAUAGCAUUUUCUGAUAAUCAAAUAUUUAUAGGAUUAAGAUGGGCAUGCGGAACAUUAGCUAGUUGGUAAGGUAAUGGCUUACCAAGGCUACGAUGUUUAGGGGAUCUGAGAGGAUGACCCCCCACACUGGUACUGAGACACGGACCAGACUCCUACGGGAGGCAGCAGUAAGGAAUAUUGGUCAAUGGGCGCAAGCCUGAACCAGCCAUGCCGCGUGCAGGAAGACGGCCCUACGGGUUGUAAACUGCUUUUGUACCGGAAUAAACCUUGAUAUGUAUAUCGAGCUGAAUGUACGGUAAGAAUAAGGAUCGGCUAACUCCGUGCCAGCAGCCGCGGUAAUACGGAGGAUCCAAGCGUUAUCCGGAUUUAUUGGGUUUAAAGGGUGCGUAGGCGGCCUAUUAAGUCAGGGGUGAAAGACGGUAGCUUAACUAUCGCAGUGCCUUUGAUACUGAUAGGCUUGAAUACACUUGAGGUAGGCGGAAUGUGACAAGUAGCGGUGAAAUGCAUAGAUAUGUCACAGAACACCAAUUGCGAAGGCAGCUUACUAAAGUGAGAUUGACGCUGAGGCACGAAAGCGUGGGGAUCAAACAGGAUUAGAUACCCUGGUAGUCCACGCCCUAAACGAUGAAUACUCGAUGUUGGCGAUAUACGGUCAGCGUCUA
rnacentral:rRNA from 1 species